rnacentral:rRNA from 1 species
AAAGUGGUUUAAUUUCAGCCAUAUAAAUACUGUAAAGAGCCCACAUAUAGCUAUUAAAUAUUUGUAAUCAGCAGAGUAUAGGCUGAUUAGUUAGUGGAUAAAUUUUAUGUUUCUAAAGGAUAGAGAUAAGCUCUUUACUAUUAGCUAGGAAAAGUCACAGUGCCAGCAUCCGCGGUUAUUCUGUUUAGUGUUAUUUAAAAAUAUGAAGUUAGGGGUGAACCUAGCACUAUAUGGGUAGAAUCUUAAUAGUGUAGUAAGUCUACACCCUUAGACCAAAGGAAGUAAGUUGAUAAAAAUGAGAUUAGAUACCUCAGUAUUACUUAUAUAUCAAUUUUUAGUUAAACUAAAGAAAUUUGGCAGUCUUUUAUUCUCCACUGGGGGUUGUGUGUGUUAAAGGAUGAUCCACCAAUUAACUCACCUUCGGCCAUUAUGUAGGUGUACGUCUGACUGAAUACUAAUAUAAAAACAUAUUAGUGUAAUUAGUAACUCUAAUUUAAGUCAAGUCUAUGUGCCACUAUACGGGGGUUCACAUGCUACACCUUUACAGAGCACCCAUUGUAAACCAUAGGUGUAUAUAAGGACUAGUGAGUAUAUACAUCCCAAUAGUUGUAUAUAAAGAGUUUAAUAGAGGUACAUACCGCCCGUCAAUCUCGGUUUUCACUGAGAUAAGUCGUAACAUGGCAGCCUAUGGGGAACCAGAGGCUUGUAAA